AGCUUUGCGCAGUGGCAUUACCAUAGUCAAUGAGGUCCAACCGAGACGUGGUUAUUGCUAGUUGAAAACUAAUCCCAAUAUCCCGCUAUUGCGAUCUUUCAUUAGAGAGCUCUAGCAAUUUUUCCUGGGCUGCUGGUCAGC